GACGAACGCCGGCGGCGUGCUUAACACAUGCGAGUCGAGCGAGCAGAUCCCUUCGGGGUGAAGCUAGUGGCGGACGGGUGAGUAACACGUGGGCAACCUGCCUCAUAGAGGGGAAUAGCCUUCCGAAAGGAAGAUUAAUACCGCAUAAGAUUGUCGCUUUGCAUGAAGCAGCAAUUAAAGGAGCAAUCCGCUAUGAGAUGGGCCCGCGGCGCAUUAGCUAGUUGGUGAGGUAACGGCUCACCAAGGCGACGAUGCGUAGCCGACCUGAGAGGGUGAUCGGGCACAGUGGGACUGGGGCACGGCCCGGACUACUACGGGAGGCAGCAGUGGGGAAUAUUGCACAAUGGGGGAAACCCUGAUGCAGCAAUGCCGCGUGAGUGAUGACGGCCUUCGGGUUGUAAAGCUCUGUCUUCGGGGACGAUAAUGACGGUACCCGAGGAGGAAGCCACGGCUAACUACGUGCCAGCAGCCGCCGUAA
rnacentral:rRNA from 1 species